rnacentral:sRNA from 1 species
CCCCCCCCUCGUUUUCCCCUGUGCCCCCCUUUGCGGGGGGCGUUAACAAGCAGCCGUACAACAAUGGGGCGUGUCAUGUGUUGCGGGAUAUGCAUACGGGAUAUGGCCGUGCAUAUGCCUCUCUCGGACUCUGGCAAUCAGUUAAUGGAAUCUAAUAAACGUGCGCGUAUCUUUUGGCCACAUCUAAUCGCUGGCUGGGGCACGCGAGCCGAUGCCAGGCAGUAGCAGCAGCAGCAUACCGUAUAGGGUACCCUGUAAUUAAAUGCCAAAGAGGCGCAGGCGAAAGAGCAAGCGAAGAGACGAAAAACAGAAGCCAAACACUGCCAGACGUAACAGCGGCACCGAGGAGGCGUUUCACUUCACCAUGAAAUAUGUCAAAUUGGGAGUAAAAAACCACUAAAUAUACAGACAUACAGACGUAUAAAAUGGAAAACCAAAGAGUGGAAAGACAGGCUUUCAAUGAAGAUGCACAAUCACAAUCCAUAGAAGUAUCCCUACUCCAAGGCCCUACUUUAAGGCCAGGUGUUCAAAGAGCCGAUCGCCACGAGUUUCUCCAAUCUGUUAGAUAAGAUACUACAUCUCUGAUGCUGAGUCGUAAAAAGUACAAAAUAGUAAUAAAAAUACCCACGAUUGCAAUGUCAUUAUAGGACUCUAUACAUUCGUCAAUCUACAAAAACAUUGCCUUUUGGAAACCCCUCUAAAUUUUUGAUCCAAAAAUAUGGCUAAAUUUCAUAAAUUGGUUUCAUUGGUGCGUGAUGUGGGUUCCUUCUUGAGGCGCUUAAAUUUGAGCAUUGCUCGGCUGAUUUUCCUGGAGCUUCCCACGGCCACAAAGCAGUUUCGAAUGUGAUUCAUGAAUCAUGAAUGAAGACCCCACCAUAGACCAAACGGAUGAACAGCAGGAUCUCCACUUACCAGAAGACUUUGGCAGACACAUCUAAUAUGAUACCAAAAUAAAGGAAUUUUCUCAUCAAAUUA